GAUGAAGAACGUAGCGAAAUGCGAUAAGUAAUGUGAAUUGCAGAAUUCAGUGAAUCAUCGAAUCUUUGAACGCACAUUGCGCCCGCCAGUAUUCUGGCGGGCAUGCCUGUUCGAGCGUCAUUUCAACCAUCAAGCCCCAGGCUUGUGUUGGGGACCUGCGGCUGCCGCAGGCCCUGAAAACCAGUGGCGGGCUCGCUGUCACACCGAGCGUAGUAGUUACAUCUCGCUCUGGGCGUGCUGCGGGUUCCGGCCGUUAAAAGCCUUAUUUACCCAAGGUUGACCUCGGAUCAGGUAGGAAGACCCGCUGAACUUAAGCAUAUCAAUAAGCGGAGGA
rnacentral:misc_RNA from 1 species